rnacentral:lncRNA from 1 species
AAUGGCAUUGCGUAUACAUAUGAAAUAAUAUAAAAUUGUUGUGAGCAUGACAUAAACAAGUGAAAAGAAUAGAGAAAUCCAUUCGACUGUUAUCUCUAAGGGGUUUCUAUUUCUCCCUCAUCUGAAAAAGUGUUGGUGAACUGCUCUUUUUGAUAAUCGACGGUCCCUUUGAUGAGAGCGGAUACGCGUUAGGUACAUGUAGGGCCACAGUGGUGAAAUACGACCGUGGUUAUAGUUUAGAUAGGGAAAUGAAAUGAGAAUGACCCAAGAAUGGGUCGGUGAUUUACAGUGGUAGCCGAGGAUCCCUUCUACCCUUAGUGGAUAUAUGUUGUAGUAGCUUCACACAAAU